UACCGAGGGGGCAAGCGUUGUUCGGAAUUACUGGGCGUAAAGGGUUCGUAGGUGGCCACCUAAGUCAGACGUGAAAUCCCUCAGCUUAACUGGGGAACUGCGUCUGAUACUGGGUGGCUUGAGUGCAGGAGAGGAAUGCGGAAUUCCAGGUGUAGCGGUGAAAUGCGUAGAUAUCUGGAGGAACACCGGUGGCGAAGGCGAGUCCCUGGACAACUUCUGACGCUGAGGCACGAAAGCUAGGGGAGCAAACAGG
rnacentral:rRNA from 1 species